rnacentral:rRNA from 1 species
CUGCUAAAAAAUAGAGGAUAAAAUACUAUUGUAUUUUAUUAUAAUAACUCUUCUUUUUGGGACUUUUGGUUUUUAAUCCAAAGGAAGUUAGAGGCAAUAACAGGUCUGUGAUGCCCUUAGAUGUUCUGGGCCGCACGCGCGCUACACUGAUAAGUUCAAAAAGUAUCCUUUAAUUUGGAAUCCUUUUCCGAAAAGAAUGGGUAAUCUUUGAAAGCUUAUCGUGAUGGGGAUAGAUGAUUGCAAUUAUUCAUCUUGAACGAGGAAUUCCUAGUAAGCGUAAGUCAUCAGCUUACGUUGAUUACGUCCCUGCCCCUUGUACACACCGCCCGUCGCU